UCAAUCUAACCUAUGGACGGGGAUAACCUCGGGAAACUGAGGAUAAACCCCGAUAGAUCAUUAUGCCUGGAACGGUUUAUGGUCCAAAUGAUUCGUCGCCGUAGGAUGGGACUGCGGCCUAUCAGCUUGUUGGUGAGGUAAUGGCCCACCAAGGCUAUUACAGGUACGGGCUCUGAGAGGAGAAGCCCGGAGAUGGGUACUGAGACACGGACCCAGGCCCUAUGGGGCGCAGCAGGCGAGAAACCUUUGCAAUGUGCGCAAGCACGACAAGGUUAAUCCGAGUGUUUCCUGCUAAAGGAAUCUUUUGUUAGUUCUAAAACCACUGAUGAAUAAGGGGUGGGCAAGUUCUGGUGUCAGCCGCCGCGGUAAAACCAGCACCUCAAGUGGUCAGGAGGAUUAUUGGGCCUAAAGCAUCCGUAGCCUGUUCUAUAAGUUUCCGGUUAAAUCCAUUAGCUCAACUAAUGGGCCGCCGAAAAUACUGUGGAACUAGGGAGUGGGAGAGGUAGACGGUACUCGGUAGGAAGGGGUAAAAUCCUUUGAUCUAUUGAUGACCACCUGUGGCGAAGGCGGUCUACCAAAACACGUUCGACGGUGAGGGAUGAAAGCUGGGGGAGCAAACCGGAUUAGAUACCCGGGUAGUCCCAGCUGUAAACGAUGCAGACUCGGUGAUGCGCUGGCUUGUGGCCAGUGCAGUGCCGCAGGGAAGCCGUUAAGUUUGCCACCUGGGAAGUACGUACGCAAGUAUGAAACUUAAAGGAAUUGGCGGGGGAGCACCACAAGGGGUGAAGCCUGCGGUUC
rnacentral:rRNA from 1 species